rnacentral:rRNA from 1 species
GAAACCGUGACUGGCUCAUAAAUCAGUCAUAAKUCCWUGGGUAGYGAAAAACUUUCYUCGGAUAACUGUGGAAAAUCCAGAGCUAAUACGUGCAACUGAGCUCCGACCUCGGCGCAAGCCGUGGGAAGAGCGCAUUUWUUAGAUUCAAAACUGACCGGCGUACUCCUUCGGGAUACGCCGUUUGUCAAAAGUUUGAKGACUCCGGAUAACUAAGCCGAGCGCUACGGUCUUCAGUACCGGCGCCGUAUCUUUCAAGUGUCUGCCUUAUCAGCUUUCGAUUGUAGGUUAAACGCCUACAAUGGCUGUAACGGGUAACGGGGAAUCAGGGUUCGAUUCCGGAGAGGGAGCCUGAGAAACGGCUACCACAUCUAAGGAAGGCAGCAGGCACGCAAAUUACCCACUCCUAGCCCAGGGAGGUAGUGACGAAAAAUAACGAUGCGAGACUCUUCCGAGGCCUCGCAAUCGGAAUGAGUCUAUUAUAAAUGUAUGGACGAGGAUCCAUUGGAGGGCAAGUCU